rnacentral:lncRNA from 1 species
CGCUAGUCUGUUAUGUGGUCGCCAGUGUGGCGGCAACCAGCGAGCCUGCAAGAGCGUUAUUUAUUUUCAUAUUAUUUCGCGCCAAGAAUUGCGUCUGCUAUUCAGUUCUGCGUGGCGCUGAGCUAAGUAGCGAUUAUUUACAUAAUGAAUUUGCCAAAAAGUUUUAACUACAGUUUAAUCGAUAAAAAUAAGUACAGAGUUGACAUUAAAAACGAAAAAGACAUAUAUAAAUGGCUAAAUGAAUAUAAAGGUAUUUAUUUUUCAAGCUGGAAAGCUACAAACACGAAAAAAAUACCCCCCACUAUUUAUGCAGUAUAACUUAUGUAUGUCAUCAUUCAGGCUAUCGAAGAGUCCCACCAAACACUAAUAAAAAAAGAAAGUCUAAAAAUUCAAAUUGCAUGGCUAAAAUAAAAAUAUCGAUUAAACAUACAACAAAGGAUACUAUGAAAAAAGAUAAAUUCGUUAAGGACGGUUUGCCAGAUAUUAUGAAUAUAAUUGGAGAUCAUAAUCAUAAUUUGGAAUCAGGUGAAAGCCUUUCAUGCCUUCGUCCAUCCGCUGAAACCAGAGCCAAAUAUUUUUCUUAUUUUGAUAAUGGAAUGGGAAUUAAAGAGUCUAGUUUAUCAUGAGUCUAAAUUAGAAUUUAAAUUUGGCUUUGACAGUAAACUUCUAGCAAAUGCAGAAAUCAAUCCAAAAUAUCGUACAGUGCAGCACUGGCAUGAUAUAUGGAGAACUGAAAAUUUGGGACCUCGUGAUGGAAUUGGGGUUUUGGAGAAACUAAAACAAACAGUUAUUGUUUAUGAAGCUGAAGGUAUUUUAGUAAAAUAUAACGUUUGCCAUCAUUGUUGUAACAACCAUUAUGCAGCGGGAAUACAAUCUCCCAUUUGAAAAAAGAUGUUGUUUUUACAGAUAGCACAGCUUCUUGCAAUGCAUUAAGCCAUUCGGUUCAUAUAUGCCAAUCUAUUUGGCGCUGGCUCUGUGAAAAAAAGAAUGGAAUACUCCAAGACGAACGACAAUUUUUAUUUAAGACAUUCCGAACUAUAUUAUUAGCAUCGACUAUUGAGAAAGCCACAGAAUCAUUUAAGAUUAUUUUUGAAAACCAACGAUUUCUACAAUGGAAAAAAUAUAUAACUAGUGAAAUAACAGUAAGGCCUUUUUAAGGACAUAGUUCUACUUUAAUAGACAUCAGCUGUACUACCUUAGAGGAAUAUUAUAGAAGACAACUUCAAAAUUUCGUAAACAGUAGAGAUGCAGCUUCAAGAUUACUCUUUAAAAGGCAAUUAGAAAAAAUGAAAUAUUUAAAAAAGGAAGAUAUAAUAAAAUUAUCAGAAAAUUUAUACAAAGUCCCUAGUGAGCGAAAUUGCGAUGUGCUCUACGAAGUCGACAUAGCCACUGGAUUUUGCAGCUGUGAAAUUGGGAGAUUGGGUGCAUUUUGCAAGCACCAAGCUGCGAUUGCACACAUUUUUAAUAUAUCUGUCAGCAACGUUCCAGCUACUAAUCCUGAAGAUCGAUACGAAAUAGCUAAAUUAGCUUUUGGCGAAAAAGUUCAACCUUUCGCAUUUUAUAGCGGGCUUAUAGGAUCCAGUGUAUGUAUUACAGAAAAGUAUACUAAUAACAACUUUAAUAACAUGGAUGAAAAUAAUGUUAGAGAAGAUAUUUCUAUAAAUAAAAAUGAAAUAGCUAAAUAACAACAAAUCUCAUUUGCAGAUUUUAUUAAUACGCUACAAGAUAAAAAUGUUACAUUUGAAACUGAUUCAUCAACGUUAAAAUUAUUGAAUGAGAGAUUAUCCCAUAUUAAAACCAAAACGGCUUGGGAAAGUUUUUUAAAGACUGCAGGAAGCUCCUCGGCAAGACGAUUUGGACACAAGGCCAGUAUAAGAGUACAACCAACUUCAAUCAGCCGAAGAAAGUUAGAAAAGUUACUAGAGGGUCAAAAAGGUUACCAUUUGGGCGACCACCUAAGGAUGAAACUUCUAAAAAAAGAUUAAAAAGGCGCCACAAUCUUUCUGCCAACAUCGCAGAAAAUCAAAGAAAUGCAACUAAACAUGGCGAAGGACAUGAAUUUCGCAUAAUUAUUAAUUAUUCUGGUUUAAAAGAUUCUUUUUUUUUAAUAUUAAUUUGAAUAAAUGUUGUUUACUUCCUAAUAUUAUUGUUUUAGUUUUCUUUAAUAAUGCAUUAAUAAAUAUUUUAAAAUCAGUCUCCUUGUAACUGAUUUGCUUACGUCCGCGCCCGCAUAAUAUUAUGUAACAUUCCGCUUAUGAAUUUUGCACCGAAUCACAUUCCAUAUACGUGUUUGGCACCUCGCUGUCUAUUGGUUGAAUCAUGACCGCGUGCAGCAAAGAACCAAUGGUAAAGCCCUAGGUGCCAAAUACAUAUACGGAAUGUUUAGAUGCGUUCCGGUUUGCAGGUGUGACCUCAGCAACAUUUCUUGCAUUAGUCCGGUGAAACUACGCGUUUAACUGGAGCGCGGGAAUUAAAUUGUCACAAAAAUAAUUCUUUUUCCAAAUAAUGUAAUUUUUUUAUAUAAUCGUUUUUUCAGAUACUUUAGGGUAGUAAGACUGAGUUUAGUGUCAAAUAUAUUGGCAUUUAAAUAUAUGAAUACACUGCUCAGAUUUCUAAAGCGACCGUAUUAUGAUGGCUCCAGCGGGCCAAUCAGAAUCUUAAAGAGAUUCCGAUUGGUGGCUACUAUAUAUACCCAGAGAAAAAUAUUCUCAAAAGUUCCAAAAGAGACAUGGCAACGGCGCUUUUUAACCAAGAAAAACGGAGAAAAUAUGUCGUCAUUUAGUAAAUUAGCGCCAAUAAAUUUGAUUUUAAGCCAUCCGACAGUGCCAUUUGCUUUAAAUGCGGUAAGUUUCGGUUGUUUUUUCCAUUAAAAAAAAACGGGCUUUCAUUUACAAAAAAGAAGACAAAUUCGUGUUUCUGUUAUCACAUCUAUAAACUUUAUACCCAACCAUAAACUAUAAAUAAAGACUAACCAUAAACCAGCCUAAACCAUAAAUAUCCCGUUUAUUGGUAAAAAAGCUGAAAACCGUUUUGUAAAUUUGGCACAUAACUAGCCCUUUGGCUAUUUCGCAAGGGUUGAAAUAUGUGUGUAUGUGAAAUAUAUGCCGAAAUUUGUAAGGAAUAAUCAGGGACUCUAUUAGUAUUUUUUUUAAUGUCGCUUCUAUGCUGGAACUGCUAAGUUAUAGUGUUGUUCUCUUUUCUACAUACGAUCUGUAACGCAACAUAGGUAUUUUUUUGUAAUUUAUAUUAAAAUAAUCCACUGGAGGUUAAGUUUGUGUAGCCAUAGGCUCUACUUCUUGGAAUAUUGUUGUAGUAAUCAGUUUAUAAAAUUUUAUGAUGUUUAAUUUGAUUUAAUAAAAGACGAUUA